GCAGAAGAUAAAACAGGUGUGAAAGAUGAAUUUACGAACACAAACAACAGCAAGUGCGAUUGCAAGGCAGCGGAGAAAUUGAAUUCGACGAAGUGUAUAAACCGAUUAACGGAAAGAAGUUAAGAUUGCUGAAAAACUACUUGCUGGACGAAAGCACGUCAACGUUGAUGUUCAAGAAAAACCAGCUGGUUACUGUAAGGGAUUCUGAACGAGGAUUGUACGCACAUUGAAAAUCAUUAAAGUAGAAUUACAACGACAUCUUCGAGAAAAACCAUUUACCAGUGGAUGAAUCGUAUCAUGAAUUUCACAGACAUGCUGUUUAUAAAGAGACAUUACAUUGAAAGCCAGCGAAACGCAACACACCAGAUAUUGAAGAACAUCGUCCUGACUACGGAUUAUACACAGUAGCUUCUUAUACAAAUUAUUUAAACAGAACAGUUAUUGCAGAUUUAUCUCAAUGUACCAUCUUCGACAGUGAAAAGCCAUGGCAUCGAGAAUGAGAAAAAGCUAUCGUCAAAUAUACAGUCGAAAAGAAAAAUAUGAACAAAUGGUUGAUCAUUGUAGCCGUUCUAGGUGUCAUAGAGACCACAAUGGAUGUCGUAAAAUAUUUAUGGCAUUCCUGAAAAUAACGAAAUGCACGUGCUGCAUAAGAAAGUAUACUCGAGUUGCCUCCAUGAUCUUUGUCUUCCUCGAGAACACAUCCAUGGCGCUAAUAACUAUAAAUGUUUUUUGUAUUAUUUAGACAAUAAAUAGUCUAAAAGCUCACUCACACUCACUGAAUGAGACUUCAAAAUCACAAAUUAUUUGAAAAUGACAUAUUCACUACACUGAAUUGCACUGAGUGCACGAGCGUGAGUGAACUUUUAAAAUAUCAGUGUUAGUUUUACAAUCAUGUUAUUUGAUUUUCUGUAUUAACUGAAAGUUUUUCCAUGGU